AUGGAUUCGUGUGCGACAGGGACAGGGAGGCGGAUCUGGAGGCUUUCGGCGAGGCGGGGUUCGCCUGUGACGAGGAGGAUGGCCGGAGAGCGGCUUCCCGAGAGGAUCCAUAGCAUCCGCGGCUCUAGGACAAAAAGGAGACACGGUGGUGAGGGAUAUAACAAGGGAGAAAGGAGGGGCGGUGCGGUGACCUUGGUCGGAGCUCACCGGUGUCCGGAAAUGGUAGACGGGCGCCACUGCUACUGCAUCCCUGGUAUUCCUCCUCUCACCUCUCCUGCCUUAAUGACAUCUGUUGCGUCGCCAAAGCCUUGGCCGCACAUCACCAGCAUCUCCGGCCUCGAGUACUCCUGCCACUUCACCCAGAGGCCCGUCGCCAUGACCGGAUCCAGUAUGGUUCCUCUAAUGCCCACCCUCUCCCUCAUGGCACAUGUGCUAUUUUACUCGGAAAGGCCAUUGCUCACACUUUGA
rnacentral:rRNA from 1 species